rnacentral:rRNA from 1 species
GACGAACGCUGGCGGUGUGCUUAACACAUGCAAGUGGAGCGACGAACCAGGGCUUGCCCUGGGGCAGAGCCGCGAACGGGUGAGUAACACGUGGGGAACCUACCCCGAUGACCGGGACAACCCGAGGAAACUCGGGCUAAUACCGGAUGUGCUCUCCUCACAUCAGUGAGAUGAGUAAAGGAAGCUUCGGCCUCCGCAUCGGGAGGGCCCCGCGGCCCAUUAGCUUGGUGGUGGGGUAAUGGCCUACCAAGGCUGCGAUGGGUAGCUGGUCUGGGAGGACGAUCAGCCACACUGGGACUGAGACACGGCCCAGACUCCGCCGGGAGGCAGCAGUGGGGAAUCUUGCGCAAUGCGCGAAAGCGUGACGCAGCAACACCGCGUGGGGGAAGACGGCCUUCGGGUUGUAAACCCCUUUCAGGAGGGACGAAGGCCGGCCGGUGAAUAGCCGUGCCGGUUGACGGUACCUCCACAAGAAGCCCCGGCUAACUACGUGCCAGCAGCCGCGGUAA